GGAGCGCGACGCGCCCGAGCCGCCCUGGCAGCCGGCGCACGACUACCAGAACGCGCUCGUCGGCAGCAGAGGGCCCAGCCCGUGCCCGAUGACUGUCGAGGCUCCACACGAGCACCACAAACCGCCGCCGCCGCCGCCGUCACCGCCGCCGCCCUCGCUCGCGGGUCCCGGCAAGGAGGGCGGCGUGAUAUCGUAUGAGA